CCUCCUUUUCUUGGCGGGGACCGGGCGUGCGGUCCCGUUCCCCGUAAUGUACGGAGGCAGAAGGAAAGGGCUCCGGCCCUCUCGGCGUCAUGUCUUCGGUGCCUGCGGCCUCCCGUUCGCCGGUUCUAUCCUCAAACGCCGGGACACCG
ensembl:snoRNA Snora57 small nucleolar RNA SNORA57